UAAAUGCAUGAGUUUUACUUGUUAGGAUCACACAAUUAACUGUAUUCUAAACUACUAAAAUACUAAGAAAUACUACAAUAUUUUCUCUCAAUAACAAUACUCCUUCAUCAACUAAUAACAACAGUGUGUAACCCUGCACUCUCAAAGGACCAUUCAAAAGACAUAAUUUCCAUCAAAUACCAAAAUUAACAGUCUUCAUUUCAACCAAUCUGAAUUCACAUAAUUUUUGUAAUCACAGACUUCUUUUGUCCAAAAUACACACAACUCUCACUAAACAACAAUCAUAAUCUUCCAAUAACUCCUCAUAUAAUUCAAUCACUCAGUGCUCUAAUUACAUAAUCAAUAAUUGUAAUUAUCAUUUUACUUAUUCUAUAAUUCCUUCAGGAAUAAAUCUAUAUAGGAGAAUUCGAACAAAGAGAAAGACUAAGCGCAUGAGUUUCACUUGUUAGGAUUACACAAUUAACUAUAUUUUGAACCACAAAAACACUAAGAAAUAAUACAAUGCUUCGUCCCAAUAACAAUACUCCUUCAUCAAUUGAUAACCACAAUGUAUAACCCUGCACUCUCAAAAGACCGCUCAAAAUUCAAUAAAUUCCAUCCAACACCAAGAAUAAUAGACUUCACUCCAACCAAUCUAAAUUCACAAAAUUCCUGUAAUCACAGACUUCCUCUAUCGAAACACACACAUACAACUCUCAAUAAACAACAAUCAUAAUCUUUCAUCCAUAAUCAAUCUUCCAAUAACUUCUCAUAUAAUUCAAUCACUCAAUACUCCACUUACAUAAUCAAUAACUCAUAAAUCAAUCUCUGAUUUAUUCCACAAACUCACUUCUCAGUAUUCAAUAACUAUCUAUUAUUCUUCAAUAAUAAAGAAACAAAGAAAACAAAGAUGAAGUACUAAACUUAACCCCGGCUC
rnacentral:lncRNA from 1 species